GAUGAACGCUGGCGGCGUGCUUAACACAUGCAAGUCGAACGGAAAGGCCCUGCUUUUGUGGGGUGCUCGAGUGGCGAACGGGUGAGUAACACGUGAGUAACCUGCCCUUGACUUUGGGAUAACUUCAGGAAACUGGGGCUAAUACCGGAUAGGAGCUCCUGCUGCAUGGUGGGGGUUGGAAAGUUUCGGCGGUUGGGGAUGGACUCGCGGCUUAUCAGCUUGUUGGUGGGGUAGUGGCUUACCAAGGCUUUGACGGGUAGCCGGCCUGAGAGGGUGACCGGCCACAUUGGGACUGAGAUACGGCCCAGACUCCUACGGGAGGCAGCAGUGGGGAAUAUUGCACAAUGGGCGGAAGCCUGAUGCAGCAACGCCGCGUGCGGGAUGACGGCCUUCGGGUUGUAAACCGCUUUCGCCUGUGACGAAGCGUGAGUGACGGUAACGGGUAAAGAAGCACCGGCUAACUACGUG
rnacentral:rRNA from 1 species